AAUCCCAUCCGUUGAUCUCUUUUGAUCGAACGGAUGGGAACUGAUCACUCCACCCCAAUAUAACUGUCUGAACGACCCCCCCUAACCCCCAAAACACCUCCCAUUUCACCCUCAUCUCUAUCUCUAAACCAAACCCUAGCCGCCCCCAAACACCUCGCCGGCUCCGCCGUGUUCCGCCGCCGGAAAUCGCCACACGGCGGCGGCGACACCCCAAACUCCACCAAAUUUACACCCUGUGUUCUCCUCUCCCUCCCCUUUCCAAAUCCACAAAUCGAUUCCCUCAAACCCUUGCCAAAUUGCUCGAAUUUCAGAUCUAAAAUCGGGACCUAAAACCCUAGUUCAUCCAAAUCAACCCAAAUUCACUAUACAUACUCCCAGCCUCCCCUCUAUACCAAUCUACUAACCUUUCCCCCAAAAGACCCGUCCAAUUCCGUUAAUUCCAGAUCUGGAAAUUCGGAACCCUAGUUUACCCACUUUGCUGAAUUUUCUUCUGAUUCAUCGAGUUUUAAGGCACGAGUUGAGCCUAAAAUUUACAUUAACUAAUCGUUCUCAGCAAGAACGAUUAUUUAAUGUAAUUUUGGACCCACCUCGAAGCACGAUCGGAGUCUAGCCAGCCUUGUUCGAGUCCGGGGUCUGUUCCUUCAUUCCUGAACCUCAUUAGGGCUUCUAUAGUUUUCUGCAUAUGCGACUGAAGGAAGUGAUAUUAAUCUGAAGAUAUUGAAGGGUGUUGUUAUUAGUCCCAUGGCUAUAGUCUGCAGAUUUGGCCACCAGUUUGCCAAAUCAGCAAGAUCUGAGCCAAAGAGUGGGAUUCUGCUGUUGAAAGCAUGCUGAAACUGGUACUUUCAUGAGGUGGAUUGAGCUUCUGAUGGAUAAAUCAUAUCCAAAAGGGGGCGAGUAUUCACUAGGUUAUCAAUCACAUGGAAGUUGUAAUAGAUUAGUGUUUAAAUUUAUGUAUUCAAUAGGUUUUAAUGUAAUAUUUCUGAUUUUGGUAAGCUUUAUUUUUAUCUGGAAGACUGUAAUGAAUUAGGUUCUGAUCUUAUUAAAUCAACUGUUGUUAAGAGUGUAAUUAUUUGU